rnacentral:rRNA from 1 species
CAGCAGCCGCGGUAAUACAGAGGGUGCAAGCGUUAAUCGGAAUUACUGGGCGUAAAGCGCGCGUAGGUGGUUUGUUAAGUUGGAUGUGAAAUCCCCGGGCUCAACCUGGGAACUGCAUCCAAAACUGGCAAGCUAGAGUAUGGUAGAGGGUGGUGGAAUUUCCUGUGUAGCGGUGAAAUGCGUAGAUAUAGGAAGGAACACCAGUGGCGAAGGCGACCACCUGGACUGAUACUGACACUGAGGUGCGAAAGCGUGGGGAGCAAACAGGAUUAGAUACCCCCGUAGUCCCUGUCUCUUAUAA